CCUCAGAACUGUGAGGACGCUCUAACCAGUCGUCCACCGUGCCGCCUAUUUUGAACUAAAUAUAUACAAAAAAUAAAUGAUAUUGCAAAGUAGAUAAAACAACAAACAAGCAGGGUUUGCAAUGUUUUCAGGCUAGGAUAGUUUGCUGCCUAGACGGGAUGCCAGCGAAAUCUUGAGAGAGUCACCAAGAAGAGAGCAAAGUUUGCAUUGAGUUAACAAUGUGCCAACCACGAGCCGAGGGUGCAUUUAAUUCAGGCGUAAAUAGUCUGCUCCCUCGACGGGUUGCCAUAGAAAGAAAGAGAUAUAGAGAUACAGAAAUUAAAACAAUAAACAGAAAGGCAGCACAAUUUGUGGGUAAUUGGAAACAAAAAAAAAGAGAAUUGCAUUGAAUUAAUUACUCAACGUGGCAACAACUAGUAGAGUGGAAUUAAUUUAGGGCUAACUCGUUUUGCGCUAGACGGGCUGCGACAAAAAUCUUAAGAGAGAGCAAAGGAGCAAAGUUUACAAUGACUAAACAAUGUGGCAUCUGUUAGCAGAGAGCUACUUAGACAGGUUGCCAUAGAAAUUAAAACUGAGAAUAAAUAGGAAGGGAGCAACGUUUCUGGGUUAUUUGAAAAAAAUAAAAAUGUAUUGAAUAAACAAUUUAACAUGGCAAGAUUCAGCUGAGGGUGCUAUUAAUUCAGACCUACAAUACCUAGUUUGUUUCCUUGACCACAGAUAUUGCCACAGAAAAGACACUUAAGAAUAAACAGGAAGGACGUUUGUGGGAGAAUUUAAAGAUAUGAAUACUGCAACAGUCUGCCAGUGUAGCUGAAUGUCACGAGUUCUGCUGUCUGUCAAUUCAGCAAGUAGACAUUUUGGUUUUAGUUUAAACAAAGCAGCCAGUAUUUCAUUGUUGAGAUAUUUUGGCACACUGUAUAAAUAAAUACUGUGGAAAAAGACAUAUUUCUUAGGCUUCGUUGUUUAUUUUCCUGAUUUAGUGACCAUGCCUGCUGAGCUGGAGCCUAUCUAAGACACCUUUAAUAUUCAAUAUUCCUCACAACCCGUGAUCAACAGCAGAUUAGCGGCAACUGAAAAGACAGGAUAAUCCCAGAGCGUUUUGUCUGCCAGAUCUCCACUGGACAUAUGACCCGACCUAUCGAACAGAGCCAAAGGACGUGUUAUUGUAUGCUCGUCUCUGGGGAAGUCAACUGGAAGACGGGGAGUUGAAAAGCUCUUCAGGAAAGUGCAACACGUUGAGAGGAGAUAAGAGACAUUUUGCGAGUGAGAGCGCUACGUUUGUUGUUUGUAUUUGAGUGUUGCGUCGAGGACUGUUGAUGAACACUCCAUGGGCAUGAUAUUAGUCUUCUCGCAGGUUUGGAGCUGAGAAGUAUUUAUAACGCUCAGCCAGAUUCAGCAUGUUUGUUAUUGAACAGGUGGCACUAUCGACCCCCAGGCGUCCAUGAUAGGGUUCACGCUUCAUGCACACGAGGGUGUUUCUUUCGCUUUCUAUUUCAAAAUCUGAUGCAGCUCAUCGAUCGGUGCCUAAAGAGGUGGUGGGUCGGUGCAGGGCUGGGUGACCUGUUUAAAGGUCUAAAGAAACAGCGGGAUGAUGAGACGUUUGACAGCAAGCGCUACUUAGCACAACUAGAACGGUUGAAAAUAGAGUAGUCAACGGCUUCACUUGCAUACAGCUCCAUGUUGAUGAGCCAAGCUGUCAUAUUAGCAAAUGGCAAAAAUCAGGGCCAUUAUAAGGCAGGGGGAAUGUUAUGUACUGAAUGUCAUGUACUGCCCUGCAGUACCGUUUUGGAGCCUGGAUGGCGCUUUGCGCCCUCUCGUCCUCUCUCUCCCCUCCCCUCUCUGUUUCAGCUUCUCCUCAAGCCACGCAACUGUCUCCAAUCAACCAUCAUCACCACCUACAUUUAAGCCUACCUGUUCCCGGAAAUCCUCGCCAAAUGUUCCUGACCCACCCCCCCAUUCCUGCCAGCCGCCUGUUCUGUGCACUGCCUGCCACCUGUCCCCGCCGCUGCCUGUCAACACAUCCAGGACCACUUACAUAACCUUUGGUCAAUAAACUGUUCAUCAUUUUACAUCAGCCUGCGCCUGCUCUUGAGUUCAGCUACUUCACACACCUGACAGAAUACUUUGGCCACUAUGGACCCAGCAACUCUGGAAGCACUGAAGAAUGCACUAACCCUCCAAGGCGCCCACAUUGGACGACAGGACAAAAUACUGCAAAGAAAUCACCGAACCGCUCCACUCCCUUUCGCAACAGGUCUCCCUCCUUUCCCAACAGAUGCAAUCCAUUCAACUCCCUGUAAGUACUCCUCCCGAGCCCGCCGCCUCUGAGCCACCCCGCUUCCUUUACAAAAAACAUCAUGUCCCUCCAUCCGAGAGGCAGCUGAAGCGCCCGGGGAGCAUUUCGUGGUAUCAGUGUCUUGCUCAAGGACACCACAGCCGUGAGUCCAGGGGAUGUUGGCGGAUGGUCCAAUCGGGGUCUUGAAGCUAGGUCCCCCACGGUGGCAGGCGAAGAUCUUAACCAUUGGGCCACGGCUGCCCAGGUCCCCAGUUUUCCUCUCAGGUCUGGAAGGAAUUCUGCAAGGCGGUGGGCGCAGCAGCCAUCUUAUCCUCGGGGUAUCACCCGCAGACCAACGACCAGACGGAGCGGGCCAACCAAACCCUGGAAUCGGCACUCCACUGUGUGGCCGCCAUCAACCCCUCCUCAUGGAGUUCCUUCCUCCCAUGGAUUGAAUAUACGCUCAUAAUUCCCUCACCAACUCCGCUACAGGUAUGUCCCCAUUCAUGGUUUGAUACGGUUUCCAACCUCCACUGUUCGACCUACAAGAGCAGGCGGUGGCAGUCCCCUCCGUACAAGAUCACCUCCAGAGAUCCCAGGUGGUUUGGAAGGACGUUCGGGCAGGGCUGAAUCGGUCCGCGGCACGAAACAAGCAGCUCGCGGACCAUCAUCGCUCCCCAACGCCCGAAUACAAGGUGGGCCAAUCCGUCUGGCUCUCUUCCCACGACCUUCCCCUUCAAACAGAGUCGCGUAAACUCGCUCCACGCUUCAUUGGUCCUUUUCCCAUCACCAAAAUGAUUAAUCCCACUUCCGUCCAGUUAAAACUGCCACAGUCCCUAAAGAUUCAUCCCACAUUCCAUGUCUCGUUGCUCAAGCCUGUCUCCACCUGCGCCUGUUCCUGACCCACGUCAUUCCUGCCAGCCCCCUGUUCUGUCCACUGCCUGCCACCUGUCCACGCCGCCGCCUGUCAACACAUCCAGGACCACUUCCAUAACCUUUGCGCAAUAAACUGUUCAUCAUUUUACAUCAGCCUCUGCCUGCUCUUGGGUUCAGCUUCUUCCCACACCUGACAUGGAAGUUAACAAUGUGGCAGCGACCAGCAGAGGGGACGUAGUAUGCUGCCUAGAUGGGCUGCCAUUAAAAAUAAAUUGAGACUAAAUAGAAAGGAAGAGUUUUGGGCGCUCUUAUUCUAUCCUGGGCUGACAGCUGCUGGCAGCUUUGAACAGCUUCAUAUGCACUUCCACACAUUGAACUUUUCGUCUGCAAGCCUGAAAGGUGAUGAAGGUCUGAAAAUGUUUAUGUCAGUAAUUGCUUUUUUCAAAGGACAAAAAUGGAUAUUUGUUUGUCUAAAAAUCAACAUCAGGUGUCAUUUAGGUAGGAGGUUUAGUGCUUGGGUGCUGCUGUUUUGGGUUGCAACAGAGGUCAGAUGGUCGAAGCAGUUAACUCUUUUAGGUCUACGAACUGAUGUAAUUGUACUUACCACCUGAUUUUUUUGACGGACAAAUGGAGGUGUGUAUUUGAUGGAGGAGUUUAUUCGUUUUAUUUGGGGCACGGCGUCUAUUACAGCAGUGUUUCCUAGCCUUUAUUGUGCCAAGGCAAAGACCAGUACAGUAUGUUACAUUAGAAAAUCUUACACACCACGACAGAAAAAAGUCACAAAAAAGUAUAUAAAGUGCACUGAUGGAUACAAAGGGUAAUUGUACCUUCUGCUAACUAGUGGAAAAGCAUUUAAUUGUUCUGUCAUCACUAAACAUCGCUGGCUUGGAUAAACUAUCAUACAUCAUUUGCAAUUUUUUUUCUCCCGAAUCAAUUCAAUGAAAUUGGAUAAUUUGGUGAAUCACUGUAUUAGAAGGAAAGCCACUAUGAACUGCACUUUGUUUAAGGGAAUGUUCAUCACAUUCAUAUUGAAAAAAAAAACAUUUGUGAGAGGUCACUAAAAGGCAUACCUGAGUCCUCGGAGUCUUUGCUGUCUGGUGCCUCCUCCAUGUCGUCGUCGGACAUCUCCAUCUCCUCCUCGCGCCGGAUGCCCAUCAGCUGCUCGUUGUGGAUGUUUCGAAUCUCCUAGAUGACAGAACAUAAUGGAGGGAUAGCGUCAAAAUUUGAUUUCAUAGUGCUGGCAUUAUGAGGUAAAUAGAGGCAAAAAGUACACUAUUUCAGCUGUGCAGCAGAAUGACAGAUCCCAUGCUUAUUUAUUUAGAAAUCACUUCAUCCAUGGUAUGUGAUGUUUCUGUACCUGUCCUCGGUUGUCCCCAGUUUUAUUUCUAUCAUAGGUAGGAGCAGAACAAUCAUCUUUCUCAAUUUUCACUUGGCUGAUCAGUCCUCCAAUGUCCUCUAAAUUGAUUAAAAAAAAUAUGUAAUCUAACAAA